rnacentral:lncRNA from 1 species
CGCAGGUGAAGCCCAACUCCACACAGACCCCUGCUUACACAGUUCCCUUCAUGGUCACGUAAAGCAGUAAGGAAGUUUUUAAUUGACAUUGUCUACUGUUAAGAGGGCAGAGUGUGGACAUCUUUCGAGAGGGUUUACUUUCUCUGUGAAGUGUCAGGCUAUCAAUUCAUUGGAUGACGCAGUGGGUUUGCUCUGGGGAAGAGAGAAAGAUGUUAUUGUAGUGUAUCUUUUAGAAUCUCUGCACAUAAAAAAAUCCCCUCAGAAGCAACCAUCCUCAAAACCUAUGUCGCAAUCAAAACCAAAGCUUUAAACUGUUUUGAGAGAUAGAUAUGGUUAAAAUUAC